rnacentral:tRNA from 1 species
AGUUCCUCGCAGCCAUUGACUCAGAUCGAGAUUCCUUUCUCGAACGAGUAGGAUGCCGA